AGCUGUGGUCUAAACCACUGAGCCUCUUGGACUUGCCAAUCAGAAGGUCGGCGGCUCAAAUCCCCAUGACGGGGUGAGCUCCCAUUGCUCUGUCCUAGCUCCUGGCAACCUAGCAGUUCGAAAGCAUGCCAGUGCAAGUAGAUAAAUAGGUACCACUGUUGUUGGAAGGUAAACGGAAUUUCUGUGCACUCUGGUUUCCGUCACAGUGUCCCAUUGUGCCAGAAGCGGUUUAGUCAUGCUGGCCAUAUGACUCAGAAAGCUGUCUGUGGACAAACAUUGGCCUCCACGGCCUGAAAGCGAGAUAAGUGCUGCAACCCCAGAGUCGCCUUUGACUGGACUUAACCAUCCAGGGGUCCUUUACCUUUUGCAGUUUCAGGGGCAGGAUAUUGCUUUGGUUUAUUUCUACUUCAUAUUUUUCCCCUGACAGGGACUUAAUGCAGCUUACAAAUAAAAUUAGAACAGUUAAAAAUGUUGAAAAUCAUUUUUUUUAAAUGGAAUUAAAAAUAUAUGUUGAUAGAUAGAUUCUAUUAAAAACAUACUGUCACACUUAUUGUCAAGUAAGUGUGUAUAAGAUUGCAGCCAUAGUGACAUCACUCUUUAAUAGUCUGGGUGAUCCAUUACAGUCCAGUACAAAGCCAGGAUUCCUUCACAGAUACCUUUUGCUCCCCGUCAGGCCUCACUGUCUCUGAGUUGGAUCUAAUUUUGCUGUGCAGUAAAUUCAGUGCUUCAGUUCAAGCAUGUGGUCAGUGCACUAAUGGCUAACUAGUGCAGUUCAGCAUUUUGUAAAUUUAUGCCUUAGGAUUCUAUGUGACUAGGCCCUUGCAUCAUUGUGAAACCGCAGCAAAAAUAAGGUGUGAGUUGAUAUCAUAUUAUGCUGGCUUUGCAGUUACUAAACCUGAAUAAAGUUAGAUUCCACAGCCCUCUUUGUGUUUUCUAAGGGAAAUGUGUGGGCAUACCUUUUCAAGCUGGGCACCUUGCCAGAGGUGUGAGACACUGGCGAAAAACUCUCAACCUGGAGCCCUUGUGCCUAUGAGCAGAGAAAGAGCUCAGUACACCCCUCCAAAGGAACUAUGAAGAGGAGCCAUCUCAAGCACCCAUGACAGAUGACCAUCCAACCUCUGCUUAAAAACCUCCAAGGAAGGAGUCUACAACCUCCCAAGGGAGACUGUUCCACUGUCUUUUUUUAAAAAAAUAAUAUUUAUUGAAUUUUAAAGGGUUACAAAAAGAAAAAAUUAAAAAACAGCAUAUUAAUGAAAUACAAAACAUCACAUCACAAUAAUAAAAAAGAAAAAAGAAAAGAGAAGAAAAAAAAAGAAAAGAAAAGAAAUACAAUGAAUCUUCCCAUAACUUAUCUUUCAUUUGCUUAUUUCCUUGACCUCCUCACACCUCCCUUUUUUGUAUUCUAGUUCAAUUAGCUAUUUCAGCAAAUCCUUUCCAUCUUUUCCAGUUUUUGUCCUCUAUUUUAUCUUAAUAUAAUGUAACUUUACUUUCCCUCCUUCACCAUUUAAGAAUCUAGUUUUUCUUAAUCCUUUAUAGCAUUUCUGCUAAAACCACAUUAUUUCAUUCCAACAUCCUUCUAACAUUCCUUAAUUUUACAAUGUUUCUGUAAAUAAGCUUUAAAUUUCUUCCAAUCUUCUUCCACCAACUCUUCUCCCUGGUCUUGGAUUCUGCCAGUCAUUUCUGCCAGUUCCAUGUAGUCCAUCACCUUCAUCUGCCAUUCUUCCCGGGUGGGUAGAUCUUGUGUCUUCCAAUACUUCGCGAUGAGUAUUCUUGCUGCUGUUGUGGCAUACAUAAAAAAAGUUCUAUCCUUUUUUGGCGAGACUGUUCCACUGUCAAACAUCUCUUACCAUCAGAAAGUUUUUCCUGAUGCUUAGUCGGAAUCUCUUUCCUUGUAACUUGAAGUUAUUGGUUCGAGUUCUGCCCUCCAGAGCAGGAGAAAACAAGCUUUUCCCCUCUUCCAUGUGACAGCCCUUGAGAUAUCUGAAGACAGCUAUCUCCUCUCAGUCUCCUCACAAGUCCUGGUUUCCAGACCCUUGAUCAUCUUGGUUGCCCUCCUCUGCACAUGUUCUGGCUCGUCAACAUACUCCUUAAAUUGUGGUGCCCCAAAUUGGGCACAGCAAACAACUGUUUGCUGAAUUGGUUUGCUGUUGCAUCAUUCACGUGCCAUCGUGUUCUUUAUUGCUGAUGUUUAUUGCUGUUGUGAUUACCGUGCUGUAAAAGUGGAAUGCAAAUGCUAAAUCAAAUCAAGGGUGUGGCAGUUGUGGGCUGAUGUUGACACAGCACCCCAGCCACCGUUUUGUUCUCAUUCCUGUCCGCUCCGUCCCCAACCUUCCCAUAUUGAGUGGGAAAGACUGAAGAGGGCUUUCCAGAGCAUAUGGUUGAAUGCUCUUAUAAACCUCCCUGCAGUUGGGCAGCCAGUAUCAUGAGACUUCUCAGCGUGUUGGGGGCUGGGCCUCAGGGCUGGAGUGCCUGUUUUGCAUUCAAAACUCCCCACGUUCAAUUCCUGGCAUUUCCAAGUAGGACCAGGAAAGAUGGCUGCCUGAAACCCUGGAGAACCACUGCCAGGAAAUGUAUAUAUUCCUGAGACAGAGGGACUAGUGAUCAAUAUAGGGCAGCUUCCUAGCUGGAAACUAGAACACAGUUUGAGUUGCUGACACCUUUGUCCCUGAGACCACCAUUCUUAAGCAGAGUUUUAUACCCUAAAGUGCACACAUUAUUUCUGCAUUUAUUGACUGCAGUACUCUAAUAAUUUCUAGGUUAACCUGAAAAUGACCGUUGAUGGGAAAUUCAUAAUUUUGAGGUGGUUUGUCUAUGGUUUCAUUUGAAAUGUUAUCUGCCAAGGUACAGCUCUCGGCGGCCUCAGUCCAUGCCUCUGUGCAUCUUCUGGGUUUGCAUAUGGUCCUUGGUUGCCUUAGCAACCAUUAGCUCCAUGAUUGACAGGCUAGCAUUUCCAAGCACUCUUUAUCUUCCUAAUUUAUUCCUUUGUAUUCCAUUCAAUCACAUUUGCAGUGAUAACAUUUGAAGAAAUGUUUUCUUUUCUGUCAUUAGCUGCAUUCAAUGUGUUUUGUGCACAGCGUUAACAGUUUAACAUGAGAUUUCUCCAUCCAGUAACCCUGAUGAAAUCCAGUAACGAGAAUGAAUGCUGGUAUUUGCUACUUGAAUCAAUUGUGUUGGCAGAGACAGAGAGGCUGAACUUUCAUUAACUGCUGCCACUUCCUCAUCCUGUGAGUAACAUGAUAUCACAAAGUGUAGCAAAUGUUCUUCCUCUCCUCAAUUUGCUGAAGUUUCACAGAUAAAACUGACAGGCACAAUCCAUUUUGGUACGGCUGCUAAAUGUUUCCUUUCAUGAAAUGCUCUCCUUAUAAAUGCAGAUGCCACUAAGAACUCUGUUGAUGUGUAAAACAUUUUUUGAAAAGCAGGCAAGAGUUUUAUUGAAUUGGAUGUAAUGACUAGGAAGCAUUCUGUUAAGAAUUUUCUGGCUUGCCUGGAAAUAUUUCACAGGCUAUACAGGGGGGAGAAAGGAAGGAAUGCACAAUAUCUAUGAUAUCAAAGCUGACAAGAAAAAAAAAUCUGCUUCUGUACCAGUUCUUCCCCCAUCCCUACUUUUAUUUCCCUUCUCACAAAUUCUUAUCUCAUGCUUUUUGCCACCUCUUGUAGCAGAUGUGUCUAGCACAGAGAGGAUCAGCAUGGUGCCCUCCCAUCGUGCGGGUGGCACUGUGGUCUAAACCACUGAGCCUCUUGGGCUUGCUGAUCAGAAGGUUGACAGUUCAAAUCCCUGUGACGGGGUGAGCUCCCGUUGCUCUGUCCCAGCUCCUGCCAACCUAGCAGUUCGAAAGCACACCAGUGCAAGUAGAUAAAUAGGUACCACUGCGGUGGGAAGGUAAAUAGUGUUUCUGUGUGCUCUGGUUUCCAUCACAGUGUUCUGUUGCACCAGAAGUGGAAUAGUCAUGCUGGCCACAUGACCUGGAAAGUUGUUUGUGGACCAACGCCAGCUCCCUCGGACUAAAAGCAAGAUGAGUGCUGCAACCCCAUAGUCAGCUUUGACUGAACCGUCCAGGGGUCCUUUACCUUUUUUACCUUUCUACCUCCCAAUGUAGUGUGGUCUACAGCUAGGGGUAGUAAAACCUAUCCAUUUCAGUUUCUCUUCAUUUCUCACUGUUCUAAUCUUAAAUUCAGUUCUCCACAUUUUCAUAUUGGUUUGUGAAUCAUAUAAAUUCAUGAAAAUCAUCAGCAUUUCACUGAGAAUUUUUUCUCCUAUACUUACAUUUAUAUGCAACUUUCUCUAAUGUACAAAUGUUGCAAAGCUAUUUCUCCUAAAAUAACACAUUUGUCACUAACGUAUGCAUUUUCAUUUUUCAUUUCUAUGUUGCUUUAUAUUUUUAAAGAAAAUACCUCAAAAUGAUUUACAACACAUUAAAACAUCAAAUAAAACAAUCCAGAAAAAGCAUUACUGAAGAAAGUCAAAUAUGGAGUAUACACUCAAAGCAACAUCAUUAGCAGGAAACUCAAAUAUUAUUUUAAAUAUUUCAAAAUAAAACAUUAGAAAGUAGAUAAACUACAGAACACACAUAGCACAGCUAACAAAAACCUUGAAGUUUUCAAAAGAAGACAUUACUAAAUGAAGUCAAAUAUAAAAUGCACAUUUGAAACAGAAUAAUAAGCAGGACACGGGUGGCGCUGUGGGUUAAACCACAGAGCCUAGGACUUGCCGAUCAGAAGGUCAGCGGUUUGAAUCCCCGCGAUGGGGUGAGCUCCCAUUGCCCGGUGCCUGCUCCUGCCAACCUAGCAGUUCGAAAGCAUGUCAAAGUGCAAGUAGAUAAAUAGGUACCGCUCCGACGGGAAGGUAAACGGCGUUUCCGUGCGCUGCUGUGGUUCGCCAGAAGCAGCUUAGUCAUGCUGGCCACAUGACCCAGAAGCUUUACGCCGGCUCCCUCGGCCAAUAAAGUGAGAUAAGUGCUGCAACCCCAGAGUCGGCCACGACUGGACCUAAUGGUCAGGGGUCCCUUUACCUUUAAUGAAACAUUAUCAGAAGCAUAGAACCUUGCUGCUGCUGCCGCCGCCACUGCUGCCGCCACCAAUCCUGUCAAUGGUGCUUCAAUGACCUGGGCCUGCAUUUCAAUGGUCUCUGUACCCUAGCAAAUACAUUAUUGCACACAGUUUAUACAUACACCGGAGGACUGCAUUGCAACAUUCAGACAGUGCAAAUUUCAAAGGUUGGCUGUGUUACAGUUGGUUCCAGCUUGUUACUAACAUACUUGGCAAGUAGCUUCUCUUACAGGCUAUGGGCCUAGACCAGCCUAAAAUCACCCAGCUUUUCUUCUUGCCUCCUGGAAAAUGACCAGUGUGGAUUUCUGGUAGCUUCCCCAGCUAACUCCAGAUUGAGGAUAAGGCUUGGCUAUCACUUAAAGAUCUUUUGCUGGCCUGCACUGCAUCAGGAUGUUAGCAAGGGAGAAGCCAGAGUCACAAACGUCAACCUUGGUGGCUCAUUUAGAAGAGUGGGGAAGGAAAGCAGGAUGCAGAAUGGACUGCUAAGGUUUUGGGGGGAAAUUAACAUUUUAUGCAUCUUCUGCCAUUUAACCCUAACCCCUGCACUCUCGAUGACACCAACAUAAAUAGGAAGUGAAAGAAGCACGCUGAGAAGAAGAAAAGAGGCUGUGGAUAAAAUGGCAAAACAGGAAGGUCUCUGGGAGGGCAAAGAGCACAGCAAGCUCUGUACAGUUGUAUCUCCCACAAUGGCCCAAUUAAAAAGAGGUUUGUUUGGCAAUGCUAUUUCCCUCAUAGAUCGUCCUUCUUCUUCUAUAUGAUUGAUAAUUCAAGCCUUAAUGAUGCUUUCCCAACCAGUUUUAUCUAGGAUAGAUGUUAUCAGCCCUGAGUGCUCACUGGAAGGACAAAUCGUGAAGCUGAGGCUCCAAGACUUUGGCCACUUCAUGAGAAGAGAAGACUCCCUGGAAAAGACCCUGAUGUUGGGAAAGAUGAAGGGCACAAGGAAAAGGGGACGGCAGAGGAUGAGAUGGUUGGACAGUGUUCUUGAAGCUACCAGCAUGAGUUUGACCAAACUGCGGGAGGCAGUGGAAGAUAGGAGUGCCUGGCGUGCUCUGGUCCAUGGGGUCACGAAGAGUCGGACACAACUAAACGACUAAACAACAACAACAAGAUGCUAGACUGUCAUACAUCUUUUUUUCUUUUCUUUUUACAAAUUUAUUUGGUUUUUCAGAUUAAAAUUUUACAGUCACAUGUGCAACAUACAACAUAAAAACAAGAUGCCAAGGAAUCUCCUGGACUUCCACCCUCCCCUUUGUGGGUCCUAUUAUCAAUCAUUUCCUCCCGCAUCUUUUAUGAUACUCCAAAUCCUUUACCUCUUCCAUUGCGUCCAGAAUUCAGCAUUAAACUACAAGUGAUAUUCCGAUCCUACUAAUGAUUUUUACAAUGGUCUUUAAGAUAAGUUAUAAAAUUUCCCCAUUCCUUAUUAAAAUGUUGGUCUUCCUGAUUUCUGACUCUUCCAGUCAUUUUAGCCAUUUUAGCAUAGUCCAUUAACUUCAACUGCCAUUCUUCUCUGGUGGGGACUUUAUCCUCUUUCCAUCUCUGGGCCAGUAACAACCGUGCAGCCGUGGUCACAUACAUAGUCUUUUCUGCUCCUUUGGGAUUUGGCACCUAGAAUUCCUAAAAGGAAGGCUUCAGACUUUUUAACAAAGGUUGUUUUAAACAUUUUUUUCAACUCAUUAUAUUAGACUGGUAUACAUCUAGGUCUGUAACUAAGCUGGAUUUCCACUGGCUCCUUCUGAAAAGUUUGGUAUGUUACUGGCUACUUUCUAGCGAGAAGGCUGAUUGCAGGGAACAAGGGGGAAUUGCAGGGUCUCUGCGUGUGGCAGUCCUCUGGUGGCAGGGUGGGGGAGAAAGCAGAAAUUGGGGAAGGGGCAGGCAGAACUGGGUGGAGGAAUGAGGGGGGAAAUGGGAGGGUCGGAAGAAUUUAAGCGUGUGACGGAGACCAUUCUAGGGCUCUGGCGACACAGCGGAAGAAAGCUGGAGAGCAGGAGAAUUUGUGGUUUGGGGAAAUAGCUGGAGGGAGUAUUGGGAGGAAUAAGGCAGAUAUGGGAGAGAGAGGACAAUGUAAGUGUGGGAGGAGGGUUAAGAUCCACCACAGAGAGAUCGCGCACUCUAAUGGGUUAAUGUAUCCAGGAUCAGAAGGUUCUGUGGUCUCCCUGGAUUGGAAGUUUACAUUCAUUUACUUUUCUGUUUGCUUCUGUUAUAGGCCACUUCACCUAUCAGGAAUGGCAUGACAACUCAUCCGUCAAAUGCAGAGGGUCGCUCUGGGGCUCUUGUUUCAUGUCUGAAUGACAGACACCCAAAGGAACAUGGAAACUUUUCCCCAGGCUCAACCUGAAUCGGAAGCAUGCUUGUGAAUUUCAGCUUCAAAAUGUUUCCCGAAAUCCAAUUAAAUAAAAUGAGAUGUUUUGAUGCCAAGGGCCUGUCCUCUCAAGUCUAGUAGAGUCCAAUGCCUUGUACAUCUCUUUCUAACGACAUCAAUGUCCCCAGCAUAAUGAGACUUUAAAAUUAAAUAUAAGGAAAAUUGGGAAUCUAUUAUAAAUGGGGUAAAAAUAGAAACCCAUUCAACUAGGAUAAAUAGGCAUAUCCUCUUCAUCUUCUUUUAAAUCAACUCAUCCAUACUGGUGGUAGCUCAGCCAGAUCAAUCUGUCAUGGCCAGUUUUGUUGCACAAGGACAAAACUGCACAAAAAUGAAAUACCUUAUUAUGGCUUUAACAGCUAAUUGGCUCUCCAUUUUCCCAAUACAGGGAAGGCAGAAAGCCAAAAGGCUGUUUUCAGCUUUUAAAUAAGCGUUUUAAUGAUUGUUCGCCCUUGGUGAAAUUAUCUUUGCAGACUGAAUCUGAUGGGCAGGAGGUCAUCCUUGAACUGAAUGACAAAGUGCUGAAAGCUGAAAUUGGGGCAUGAAAAAUUAGCACUUCUAUAAAGAGCCUCUUUGAGAAAUGCACGCACAGACAAAAUAGGACUCUAAGCUGCCGAGGUGUCACAUGCAGCCAUAUUUAUAACCAUUCAAGAGCAGCUUUCACAGACCACUUUUGGCUCUAUUUUUACAGAAAGGUCAAUUGUCACCUGUUUAGAAGCAUGAGGAAAAGCUGGCCAAUUUUGCCUUGAUGCUUAAAGUACCUUCUUGGGAACUGUGAAAAAGAACUGCCUGCAGUUCCUAUGCAAUUGAACAGUCCCAUCCCCUAGCCUGAUUGACAGACAGGAGAGCUAAAAGGAGCAGUCCUCUAAAUGGAAACAGUGUGAUAGGUAACUUCUAAAUGCCAGAGGGAUGGAGUCAAUGCUUUUUGUUGGUGUGAGCAGUCAGCGUGCCUUAAUAUGUGCAUUAAAUUUGCAGCCAGAUCCGUCCCCCACUUUUACUGAGCGCAGCAAUGGGAUGGUCAUCUGCAAGGCAGGCUGUUUGAAAGGUUACUGAGGAAAAAGCCCUGGAAGGGUAAAAGGGUACUCAUGGAAGGGUAAAAGUGAUGUAAUGAGACAAGGAAUUGAACUGAAGGAUCUUCUGCUCCCUUUACUCCCUAUCACUUCUACAAACCAGACACCAGAGAGAAUGCCCGUGACUUCUCAUUAGCAGGCAGGCUCUUGAGAGGUGAAAUGUCAUAUUCUGGGAGCCAGAAGUCACAGAACAUUUUUUUUAAAAAUAAAAAUUAAAGAAAUUUUAAAACACUUUCUAAUGUUAAACUGAGACCACUGUUACAAACUUGAGGUUCAUUCUUGUUCUGCAGUAUCCGGAUGCUACAUGGAAAUGAUUUUGAGCUUUUUGAUAUGUGAGACUUAAAUUCAGCUUUAAGCUCAGCUGUUACAUUAAUGUCUCAUUGCUGCAUUCCAGAAGUAACUACAGGGGAGAGGCACUAGUCAUGUGAACGAGCUUUCUGGUUAACAACACGGGUUUCACAUUCACAUUGCAAAUUGAUCUGG
rnacentral:lncRNA from 1 species